rnacentral:rRNA from 1 species
UACGUAGGGGGCUAGCGUUGUCCGGAAUCAUUGGGCGUAAAGAGCGUGUAGGCGGCCCGGUAAGUCCGCUGUGAAAGUCGGGGGGCUCAACCCUCGAAUGCCGGUGGAUACUGUCGGGCUUGAGUACGGGAGAGGCGAGUGGAAUUCCUGGUGUAGCGGUGAAAUGCGCAGAUAUCAGGAGGAACACCGAUUGCGAAGGCAGCUCGCUGGAACGUUACUGACGCUGAGACGCGAAAGCGUGGGGAGCAAACAGG